rnacentral:pre_miRNA from 1 species
AUGCGUGAGAGCCUGGAUACGGCCGGACACCAGGGUCGCCGUCUGCUCGGCCACGGUCCGCCUUGCUGCGCCCUCACGAGC